AAAGAUUCAAAGGGUGGGGAGGAACCAAAACCAUAGGCUCUGGUGAGGAGUGCAACUUCUGAGUUGGUCGAGCCUCCAUUGGAGGGGAUUGCUAGUUGACCACACAAGGAGCAGCAGGGAGCAAAAGUUGACCUGAUGGAGGAGUUUCAGGGGCCUCGUCUUCCUAGACUUCAAUUGGCUUAGGAGUCCAUAAACGGCCCAACCGACUGCAAAGAGCGGCAAGUCGGGCGUCCUCUCCCUGAGACGAAGGCUCCAUCCGAAGAGAAAAACUCUACUGUAGGGUGGUAUAAGCAAAUAACAGAGAGUAAACCGAGUGAAAAGCCAUCCAUGCAAAGAGAUGAUGGGAAAUCGGGACAUGCAAGGUGAGAUAUAUGGAAAUUUGGGUGCGACAACACAAAGAAAAACAAGGCUGAGAGGGCGAUGAAACCAGAAAACAGAGGCGAUGAAGAGGGAAAAGAUGAAAAGACGUAGAGGACCCAGGGGAUCAGAGGUCUACAUCCAAGAAAGCAUGGAGUGAAGACAAGUUCGGAGAGGACAAGGUGGAGCAGCUGAGGGACCAUCUUCCGAAACUCCGUCCAUGAGAUGCAUGAAAACAAGAAAAAACCAGAAACAGUGAUGGAGAAAUGAACAGAGCUCUACAAGGACGAGAGGGAAAACUCUACAUGGGCGAGAGAGGAAAACUCUACAGGGGCGAGAGAGAUUUACUACACGGUGCGAUGACAUUUGAAAGCUUGAAUCCAUCCACUAGCUUAUUAAGCAAUAAUUGUGUUACACAUUUACUUGCUACUUUUCUAGUGCAUGCACAUGUAGUGGGCUUAACUAGUUUUCUCUUGUGGGCCACUAGUGGCCUUGCUAUGCGUUUUUGGUACGAUAGCAUAUCGCCACCCCGCGGGAUUCACUUUUUUUCAUUGUACAUGACUAUUUCAAAGUAAAUUAAAGCACAUAUUUCUUGAACAAA